CUCUAGUCAACACCAACGACCAACUUACGAUACGAAUUUACAAUAAAAGAUAGGAGUUCAGUUUAUUAUCGUAUUGUAAGGGAAAUAUAUUAAGGAAUGGAGUCUUCAACUAAGAUAGAAGAAAUUAAAAAACUGCAAGAUACCAUUACAACUAUUCGAAAAGAUGUUCCCAAGCUAUAUAAAACAUUUCUAAUGAUGGAAUGCGAGGCUCAAACAUCAGCUUUAGAAAAUGGUAAAUGCAACAUUAAAUCUCAACAAUUGGACAUCAGCCUGCAACGCCCGAUUGAUUUAAAUGGAGCAAAACUGCGAAAAUCUGCAACCGAUAUGAGGGAUCUUUCUGAGCGCACGCAGAUGUUGAGAAAUCUCUGCAAAAAAUAAUUAAACAAAUCUUUAUCAAAACUGUUUUUUUAAAUAAACGCAAUAAUUAUGUAACAUACCUCGAUAUCAAUCAUUCUGCAAGUCCAAAAUCGAAUGUAUUUCAUUGUAAAUCAUUUCUAAGCA